UACAGAGGUCCCAAGCGUUGUUCGGAUUCACUGGGCGUAAAGGGUGCGUAGGCGGUCGGGUAAGUCUGAUGUGAAAUCUCCGAGCCUAACUCGGAAACUGCAUUGGAUACUAUUCGGCUAGAGAGUUGGAGGGGGGACUGGAAUUCUCGGUGUAGCAGUGAAAUGCGUAGAUAUCGAGAGGAACACCAGUGGCGAAGGCGAGUCCCUGGACAACUUCUGACGCUGAGGCACGAAAGCUAGGGGAGCAAACAGG
rnacentral:rRNA from 1 species